rnacentral:rRNA from 1 species
UAAUGCCUAGGAAAUUGCCCUGAUGUGGGGGAUAACCAUUGGAAACGAUGGCUAAUACCGCAUGAUGCCUACGGGCCAAAGAGGGGGACCUUCGGGCCUCUCGCGUCAGGAUAUGCCUAGGUGGGAUUAGCUAGUUGGUGAGGUAAGGGCUCACCAAGGCGACGAUCCCUAGCUGGUCUGAGAGGAUGAUCAGCCACACUGGAACUGAGACACGGUCCAGACUCCUACGGGAGGCAGCAGUGGGGAAUAUUGCACAAUGGGCGCAAGCCUGAUGCAGCCAUGCCGCGUGUGUGAAGAAGCCUUCGGGUUGUAAAGCACUUUCAGUCGUGAGGAAGGUAGUGUAGUUAAUAGCUGCAUUAUUUGACGUUAGCGACAGAAGAAGCACCGGCUAACUCCGUGCCAGCAGCCGCGGUAAUACGGAGGGUGCGAGCGUUAAUCGGAAUUACUGGGCGUAAAGCGCAUGCAGGUGGUUUGUUAAGUCAGAUGUGAAAGCCCGGGGCUCAACCUCGGAAUUGCAUUUGAAACUGGCAGACUAGAGUACUGUAGAGGGGGGUAGAAUUUCAGGUGUAGCGGUGAAAUGCGUAGAGAUCUGAAGGAAUACCGGUGGCGAAGGCGGCCCCCUGGACAGAUACUGACACUCAGAUGCGAAAGCGUGGGGAGCAAACAGGAUUAGAUACCCUGGUAGUCCACGCCGUAAACGAUGUCUACUUGGAGGUUGUGGCCUUGAGCCGUGGCUUUCGGAGCUAACGCGUUAAGUAGACCGCCUGGGGAGUACGGUCGCAAGAUUAAAACUCAAAUGAAUUGACGGGGGCCCGCACAAGCGGUGGAGCAUGUGGUUUAAUUCGAUGCAACGCGAAGAACCUUACCUACUCUUGACAUCCAGAGAACUUUCCAGAGAUGGAUUGGUGCCUUCGGGAACUCUGAGACAGGUGCUGCAUGGCUGUCGUCAGCUCGUGUUGUGAAAUGUUGGGUUAAGUCCCGCAACGAGCGCAACCCUUAUCCUUGUUUGCCAGCGAGUAAUGUCGGGAACUCCAGGGAGACUGCCGGUGAUAAACCGGAGGAAGGUGGGGACGACGUCAAGUCAUCAUGGCCCUUACGAGUAGGGCUACACACGUGCUACAAUGGCGCAUACAGAGGGCGGCCAACUUGCGAAAGUGAGCGAAUCCCAAAAAGUGCGUCGUAGUCCGGAUUGGAGUCUGCAACUCGACUCCAUGAAGUCGGAAUCGCUAGUAAUCGUGGAUCAGAAUGCCACGGUGAAUACGUUCCCGGGCCUUGUACACACCGCCCGUCACACCAUGGGAUGUGGGCUGCAAAAGAAGUAGGUAGUGUA